AGUCUGCCAAAGGGACAGCUGAACGAAAGGCUCAACUUCCUCCUUCAUCAGCUCCAAGUUCCAGGACAAGAGGCAGAACCAGGUGCCACCGAGCCUGCCACAGGUUUCUGCUUCUUGCCAAGUGUCUAUCUCUUACUCUACCGACCAUCACCAUUGACGUGUGUGAGGGGACAUCUGGAAGCACAGUCCUCUAAGAAGGGGGAAAUUUGGACACAGACAUACACAGAAGGACACCGUGUGAAGAUGAAGAUGGCCACCUGUGAGCCAAGGAAAGAGCCCUGGAAUGAAGCAACGCUGCCUACACCUUGCCUUCAGAUUUCUAGCCUCCGGAGCUGUAGGGAAAUAAAUUCCUGCUGUUUAAGCCCUUCAGUUUGUGGUGCCUCGAUACGGCAGCCCUGGGGAAAUGGAUACAGCCUCCAUUCCACUUUCCCACUUCCGACCCUUCUUCCCCAUCUCUCUUCACUGCUUGCAAAGCCAGAAAUAGCACAGGAUGGUGAGUCAGGACUGGCACUGCUCAAGAGCACUGCCAGCCACACCCCGGCCGCCUACCCCCACGAUUAAGAGAAAGCACAGGGCAGUGCCAUGGACUGGGACUCCGACCCCCACUCAACCAGCCACAAUGGCCUGUGUGUCUUUAACAAGUUACCAGCCCUCUCUGGGCUUUAGUUUCCUUGGCUGUAAAAUCAGGCUGCUGCUUGGGAUUUUCAACUGUUCUGUUUAUAACAUAGCAUUUUUAGGUCAC
rnacentral:lncRNA from 1 species